ACCGCCCGCUGCGCGGAGCCCGGCGGAGCCCGGCGGGGCAAGCAGAGGAGCCGGGCAGCUCCAGGAAUUGAAAAAAUCGGAAAGGUAUCCACAGUUACGUGCUAAGGCAAAAUUUUUCUGGAAGUUCCAUCUCUGGAAGCUUCUGUUUCCAGAAAUGACAAUUGAACACCAGCUUCUCAGCAUUACCAUAGUGAUUGUAUCCAUGCUGUGGCAAAAUAGGAAGAGCUUCUGGAACUGACCAAGGUCGUGAGAGGGUUGAGACACUCCAGGUUCAAUGUAAUCUCAUUGGGCACUAGCAGUGGAACUGUUCUGUUCAAAAUGGUUUAUGGUGAAUUUUUCCGCAGACCCGGCAAAGAUGCAGAACUUAUCAAUUUGAAUGUUGGUGGCUUUAAGCAAUCAGUGGAUCAAAGCACUUUGCUCCGGUUUCCUCAUACCAGACUUGGGAAACUUCUCAAAUGCCAUUCAGAAGAGGCUAUUCUGGAACUAUGUGAUGAUUAUAGUGUUGCAGAUAAGGAAUAUUACUUUGACAGGAACCCUUCCUUGUUCCGAUAUGUUCUGAAUUUUUACUACACUGGGAAACUUCAUGUCAUGGAGGAGCUUUGUGUCUUUUCCUUCUGUCAGGAAAUAGAAUACUGGGGGAUAAAUGAGCUGUUUAUUGAUUCCUGCUGCAGCAAUCGGUACCAGGAAAGGAAAGAAGAAGGUCCCGAGAAAGACUGGGAUCAGAAAAGCAAUGACAGAAGCAUUGACUCCUCUAACGAAGAAUCAUCCAUAUUUGAUAAGGAGUUGGAAAAGUUUGAUAAUCUGUGCUUUGGUGAAAUAAGAAAGAAGAUAUGGGUCAGGAUGGAAAAUCCUGCAUACUGCUUGUCUGCCAAGUUAAUUGCGGUGUCCUCCCUAAGUGUUGUCCUGGCGUCAAUUGUGGCAAUGUGUAUUCACAGCAUGCCUGAGUUUCAAAGGCUGGAUGCCAAUGACAGGGAGAUUGAAGACCCUGUGCUGGAAGCUGUGGAGAUUGCGUGCAUUAUUUGGUUCACUGCUGAGCUAGUGAUCAGGCUCAUCACUGCCCCAAGUCAAAAGAAGUUCUGGAAGAAACCACUGAAUAUCAUUGAUUUUGUCUCUAUUAUCCCAUUUUAUGCCACCUUGGCUGUGGAUACGAAGGAAGAAGAAAGUGAAGAUAUUGAAAACAUGGGGAAAGUGGUUCAGAUCCUGCGGUUAAUGAGGAUAUUUCGCAUCCUGAAACUGGCCAGGCAUUCUGUAGGACUGAGGUCUUUAGGCGCUACUUUGAAACAUAGCUACCAGGAAGUUGGACUUCUCCUUUUGUUUUUGUCUGUUGGGAUUUCUAUUUUUUCAGUUCUUGUCUACUCAGUGGAGAAGGAUGACGACUCAUCAGAACUGCACAGCAUCCCCGUUUGCUGGUGGUGGGCAACCAUCAGCAUGACCACUGUUGGUUAUGGGGACACUUACCCAGUCACGCUUGCUGGAAAGCUGCUUGGCACCCUAUGCAUUAUCUGUGGGAUAUUAGUGGUAGCACUUCCAAUCACCAUUAUUUUCAAUAAGUUUUCUAAGUACUAUCAAAAGCAAAAAGAUAUUGAUCCAGACCAAUGCAACAAUGAUCGCAAAGAGAAAUGUAAUGACCUACCUUAUUUUAACAUUAGGGAUAUUUAUGCAAAAAAGAUGCACUCAUUCAUUUCUAGCCUUUCUUCAGUAGGAAUUGUAGUCAGUGACCAAGAUUCAACAGAUGCCUCCAGCAUUCAAGAUAUGGAGGAUGUUUAUAACACAACAUCUUUAGAUAAUGGUACAGGAAAAUGAGUUGAAUUAUUUCUCCUUCCUUUAUUUCUCUCUUCUGAUCCUUGGUAAAUGUGGACUUAGAAACUUCAGUGAAUUUAUUAAGAGCAGUUAAUUCUCAGGGUACUUAACUCUCAGCCAUAUUUGGACAUUCUUUGCUCUGAGGAUGCCAUACAGGCUUCAUUGUUUAUAUGAGGCUUUAAAAUAUGCCUCAUAUGGUGGUUUAGCUUUUACACAACUAGCGAUAUGCAUUUUGGGGAGAAAAAAAGAAAGGCAGGAAAACAGAUUUAAACGUGAGAUUGGAGUUUAUUUUAUUUUAUUUUUUUAUUUUUUCCUGUAGAAAUCUGAUAGCUUAUAUGUUCAGGCAGACAUAUAUUGCAAACAUAUAAAAACUAUGGCACAUCAGUAAAGUCUUUACCUGCAAAUACAUCAGAAGAAAGAAGGAAUUAUGUACAUGUAAAACUGUAAAACAUUUAUCUAAUACUGGAGUUGGGAAGCAGCUUCCUAAGCUGGGACAGAAAAUGUAUUGGUACAUACUGUUUUUACUCCAUGGAAGCAUAAUAUUUAUGAAUUUCUUUCCAAAAGCACAAUACAUUUUUAGUUUGUUAAAAUAAAUUAAUCCCAUUGUGCCUGUAUUUUUCCCAGUGUUCCACAUCCAGUAUGGCCAAGCUCUGGCAGGUCCCAAAGGGUCUAAAUCAUGAGUCCUAGGAUGAAGCAUGUGGCCUAGGGCUGGAAAGGAGAGUAUUGUACCUUUUUACCACCUUUUCUGUCAUUGCAAACCUGAGCAAUUCUGGUGCCUGGAGAGGAUCCUGCUGUUAUUAAGACCACCCUAGUGGCUUCCCCAGAGGCUUUGUUUUAUGGGUACUGAAGCAAACAUCUCUGGUGGUCUUUAGAAGUUAUUGCUCCCUGCUGUCAGCUCUGCUUCCUUGCUGGAGGUUAGAAGAAAAUGUGAGCAGCAUCUCAACUGCACUGGUUCUCAGUCCAGGACUGUAAUGCCAAGGAAUGGAGAUGCAUGGACGUGCUCUCUUCUACCAUAUAUUGACCAUCUGAGAGGUUUUGAGGAUGAAUUAUAAUCUCAUCAGAAGCAUUCCUAACCAACAUAUGGAUUCACACAGAGAUCAUCAGAGCUUUACAGAAGAAAGCAAGGUCCAUCAAAGGAAAAUAUGGAGUGUAGUCACAGCUAUGCUCAGUGGGGUUUAGUAAUCCCUGUACCACAGGCCCCUCCAGUUCUUCUGUUUCUGGUCCUCAUGGAUGGGAGAUGUUUGUAAACCUGUUUUUGGAUACAUCCCAUGUUCAAGGUUAUGUUCCUGCAUCUUUCCUACACAGACAAUUAUAUUAAAGUUAGUCCACAGGGCACUCUGGCUUUUUCAGGAGAGGUGAGUGAUGGCUUACCUUCAUUUUUUCUGGAAGACAGAUCCACUAUGUCUAUAUAGUAUAUGUCUAUAUGUCUCUCUUGUACUGAAAAUUUUCUUGAACCCCUUCUACCCCCCACCCUACCCCUUAUUUUUUAUUUUUUUUCCUCCUGAGACAGUAUGGGAUAGCAGGACUCUAUUCAGCAUUAAAAAAACAAACAAACAAACAAACAAAAAAAAACUGUUAAAAGACUAUUGUCUUUUACUUUGUUACUUUGUGACUGUUGGUUUUGACAAAAUCAUAGAUUUCUGGUCAGCAAAUUAUUUCCAUCCAUCUGUAGCCCCAGAAACUUGCCUGGAUCUUGGAAGUGCAUCUGGUCCCAAUUUCAAAUUGAAUUGCCUCAUUUUUACUUGACGUGAGUGCGUGUGAACACUUAGCUCAUAAUUCCAUUUCUAUGCAUCACAGUCCAAGAAGAAAUCUCCCAACCAGUCCACUCCCAGCCCCAAAACAAAUGUCAAUAUCUCCCUACUGUAGCUGUCUGUCUGUUGUAAGCUUUCCAAAGAGUAUUUACAGUGUGGAAGAACUGUGCAGGGGAAGCACAUGCCUCCUUCUGUGAGCUCCUAUUUGUAUGCAAAAGAUUUUCAUGGGAUUACUGAAGAUGAAUUGCAUUACUGAUGUCAGUGAACCUCUCUUUUUGUCCAGUAACUGCCAUUCUUUGCAGGGUCCUUUCAGCUGUGUAGAUAAUAGUAGGAGAAUAAGAAGCUAUAUGACAAGAGUCAGCUACUUAGAUCAGGCACACUUUUUCAUUAAUUAACUCUCAUACUUGUGAGCUUCUCAGAUGUUCCUAAAUAUGGUCAAACCAAGUUGCAGAGUAAACAGAGAUUGGAAAAUACCUGUAUUUUACCUUUUGAACACCAGGGAUGUUUAUGGUAACAAAAAGCCUGGUAGUCUUUUUACAUCACUGGUCUGAGUUCAUUAGACAACAUAGUUGCAGUCUAAUUGGUUUCAAUUAACUUUUGCCCUCCAAAUACUGUGUGGAGAGCCACAGCUGAGCUCUCCUGGAGGUCAGAGUUAGAUGGGACAUGCAAAAAGCAGUUGGUUGCAGACAUACACUAAACUGACUGAUUGUUCUGUAGCAGUCAGUCUGAGCUGUGACAGGGUGGUGGCAGUGGAGGAAUUGCUGACCUCUGAAGUCUUUGCAUCCUGUCCUGGGCUUACCAGCAUUUAUCAGCCCUAGUAGUGGUUUUGUUUCAUUUCAGCAUAAAGCAUUUGCUUUAAAAUCUGCUUUGAUGAGUAUUAUUGCUUGUAGGAUGACAGAGAGUCUGAGUGCAUUAACUGAUAAACUGGCUUGGGAACGGCUUAUUAGCAUAAAUAUUAAAUAUGAGACUCAGCAGUGACUAAUGGGUAAUCCGUUUAACUCCUCUCUCUCUGACAUACUUCUAGCCUAUGACAAAAAGAGGUAGAAUAAAAAGAGGAUAAGUUAAGAGGCCUGGUGACUUUGGUGAUUAUAAGUGAUUACAGUAAUAUGUGGUUUUUUUUCUUUUCUUGGGUAUAGCUGAUAAUCACUGGCAUGUCAAUGCCAAUGGCAGUGGCUUAUCAAUACAAGCAGCAAAAUAUAUUGUUACUUGGGAAUUUGAGGUUUAAUUAGACAGAUGUUUUAGUUUAACCACGUUUCAUUUGAUAAAAUUUGCUCACAGAAUAAACAGUUUUUCUGCUUCCUUACCUCUGCUCUUGCAAAAGGCAGUGGAGAUUUGGUUUAUAUUAGCCUUAAAUUCAAUGCAAUUUCUGCAAGAGAUUUCAGGCAGUGUUUUUCUAGUCUAUGAAAAAGCAACAAAAUUAUUAUAUGGAAAAAUAUUUGAAAUGAUUGGUAGCUUUUCAUCUGAGACAUCCAAGCUUUUUGUUAGAACUAUUAAAAUAUUUUUAGAGAGACAUGCAAGUUCUUGAAGCUGAUUUCCUGCUUAUCUGUCUAAACAUGGAAGAUGUCGUAAAUCAGGUUAUUAAUAGCCUGAUCCAAAGGGUCAGUGUGCGUCAGUAGAUGAAAAAUAGAUAAGAAGUAACUUUUAAAUUAUUUGAAGAUUGGCUGAUAUAUCUCAAACUCAUAAUGAAUCUCUGUGAAUGGAACACAACCAAUUUUUGUGUUUUCCUUUGGAUUAUUGAAUAGGAGUAGGACUUGCAGAGAUGGUAGUUAAAAAUCUUGAUCACUUUGAAGAUAAUGUUUUGCAAAUGUUAUAUUGUCUUCUUUGGCCAUAAAAGAGAUUUUCUUAAGCAGUUUGAUGUGCUAGUAGUCAUAACUGUAGGAUGUGAUGAUGUUUGUUUCUUGGUCCUGAAUGAAGCAAGGCAUUAUAAAGCUAAAAUGCAAAGCUUUUAGCUGUACUGUCAGCUGCUUGGAAAACAUCUUCACUACAGUGGGCAGAAGUUGGACAAACUAACUAAUUCAUCUGGCUUCAAAACUGGAUAGAUUCUCCCAGAAGAUGGCAGUGCACCUAUGAGUAGUGUUCUGCCAGCUUUGCAAGCCAUAUCAUUUCUAGCUGUUUUUUAUAUGUUGUGUGCAAUAACAAAUCCAAGUAAUGAAAGAUGUGUGUGGAUACAAAGGACACUUUUGAUGCUAAAAUAUGAACACAGGUGUUCCAGAAAGUCUGUAUAUCCUGCAUAGAUGGUAAUGGACUGAACACUUCUGGAUAGGUCAGUAAAUUGUUUAGCAUGCUGAAGCACCAACCAGCAUACUGAAGAUCCUCUUUCCCUUGGAGUCCUUCAGAUAAUCCCUAUGUAAAACCCACAACCAGAGCUUUAAAAUGUGUCUAGGUUCUAAAAGUGUCAUUGUUUGCACAGGAACAGAUCAAUGUAGGAUAGCAGUAGCUAAGAAAUGGAGGAAAUUACGAUGUUUAACACUCUGGCUAUGUUACUUCUUUGCUCCAUUGUUUCUCAGUGAAAAAUUCGUUUGUCCAGAUAGGGAUCAAAAAUAGAUGUUCAGAAAAAAAAAAAAAAAAAAAAACAACACAAAACAAAACACAAAAAAUGACUACUUCUUUAUUAAUUCUAGUCUAAGAGUAAUCAGUAUUUGCUGUAAAUAUAGGGAUAUUUCCAGUUCAGUUUCUAAAGUUGUAAUCUAAGUAUGGAUUUUCAGAUGUGUAAUCAAAUGAGAACUACUUAACCUUUCAGAAUUUCCUCCACCUCUUAUCAUUUUAUUUAUUUCUGAAUUAUCAGUAGAGAAUGCUAAUAUCCCUUUUAAAAAAAAUCCAAUCCAUUCUAUAGUUACGAUUUACAAAUAAAAGUCACUAGCUCUUCUGCAGUGUUUGUUUUAUGAACUGUUUGAUAUGCAUAUUUACAUGUAUGAACAUGUGAUGUAACUGAAUGAAGAGGGGGAAGGAGUUUGUGCAGAAGGGAGGGAGAAUAGAGGAGCUUUAGAAAUAUAGCAAUUCUUACAGGAAAAUUUUGGAACAAAAGGUUGCCAUCCAUGCUCUGUCUUACCCAGAAUUACUACCGGUACCUAGAGAACAUUUAAAUAUUUAUUCUCUGCAGCUUAGUUUGAAAAAAGUUCUGUUAUGGCUUAUCUGUAACCAAUUAUUUAGUUUUCCAAACAGCGAAGAUGCACUGGCAGUAAAAAUAAAUAAAUAAAUUAAUUAAAUAAAUAAAGCUGUUUAUUUAAUGUAAAAAAGAGAUUUAAAAACACACACACACACACACACACACACACACACACACCACGAUUGUAUGUUCUUGUUCUGCAGUCAAAUAUAAUUACAUAUUCUUGUUCUCCUGCUUAGACACUGUACAUUCUAAUUUUACUAAACUAACAGGAGCUGCAUCAUUUCCUUUGCAAAAAAAAGCAAAACCAAAACCAAAACAAACAAACAAACAGUCAAAACACCUACAAAAACAAACAAGAAAGUAAAAUGUUGUAUUUGUUUUCACUUUCCUCCUCCAGUAAGUCAUGGGAGCUGUGAAAUUAUGUUUUUAAAUUGUAGAUGUCUGCCCUCUGUUUGAAAGGUGUGUUUGUCUUCAUCAUAGAACAACCAUCUUUAAUUUCUUGGAGGACUCAUCUAUGAUUGGAUUUGACAUGGCCAUAAAGUCAGUCAGACAAAAUCUUCCUUAUUUCCUGAAGGGAUAAAGCAGCACUUUCCUAAUCAGAUGGCCAACAAGCCUGUGCAACCCAUCUUUAAUGGAAACAAUCACAAUCCAUAAGUUAUAUGAAGGGGACAGUGGUGACAGAUUUGAUCCUGUCUCUCAUUCACCAGUAAAGCCUAUUGCCAAUUCCCAUUUCACCACCCAAUAACCACCCUUUCACUACAGAAAAGUAUCCUUCCCCUUUGUCAGGAGAAGGCUUACAUUAAACCCAGCACUUCCUCCCCACCAAUCACUUUUUUAACAUAAUUCAUCUGAUGCCUGCACAUCUCCCACUAGUCGUAUAAUUGACUAAGCUCUUGGGUCCUGUGCUCCAUACUGUGCCUGUUGGCAUUUGCUGCUGCCACUGUGUAACCUGGAUAUGCUGUGAUAUGUAAAUGAUACUGCUUGCUAUUUUCUUGCUCCGUUUGUGUAAAAUCUCAAUAAAAGUGAAAAUUAACAAUAGUCAAACUGUGCAAAUAUCUUGGCUGACUAUUCCACAAUAAGGCAACCUACCUCAACACCAAUAAAAUUUUGACAUUA